rnacentral:rRNA from 1 species
UACGUAGGGUGCAAGCGUUGUCCGGAAUUAUUGGGCGUAAAGAGCUCGUAGGUGGUUUGUCGCGUCUGCUGUGAAAACUCAGGGCUUAACCCUGAGCUUGCAGUGGGUACGGGCAGACUAGAGUGCGGUAGGGGAGACUGGAAUUCCUGGUGUAGCGGUGAAAUGCGCAGAUAUCAGGAGGAACACCGGUGGCGAAGGCGGGUCUCUGGGCAGUAACUGACGCUGAGGAGCGAAAGCGUGGGGAGCGAACAGG